rnacentral:rRNA from 1 species
AUACGGAGGGUGCAAGCGUUAUCCGGAUUUAUUGGGUUUAAAGGGUCCGUAGGCGGAUCUGUAAGUCAGUGGUGAAAUCUCAUAGCUUAACUAUGAAACUGCCAUUGAUACUGCAGGUCUUGAGUAAGAUAGAAGUAGCUGGAAUAAGUAGUGUAGCGGUGAAAUGCAUAGAUAUUACUUAGAACACCAAUUGCGAAGGCAGGUUACUAUGUCUUAACUGACGCUGAUGGACGAAAGCGUGGGGAGCGAACAGAAUUAGAAACCCCGGUAGUCC